UACAGAGGUCUCAAGCGUUGUUCGGAUUCAUUGGGCGUAAAGGGUGCGUAGGCGGCGCGGUAAGUCGGGUGUGAAAUCUUGGGGCUUAACUCCGAAACUGCAUUCGAUACUGCCGUGCUUGAGGACUGGAGAGGAGACUGGAAUUUACGGUGUAGCGGUGAAAUGCGUAGAUAUCGUAAGGAAGACCAGUGGCGAAGGCGGGUCUCUGGACAGUUCCUGACGCUGAGGCACGAAGGCCAGGGGAGCAUACGGG
rnacentral:rRNA from 1 species